CCCAUUCCGUUAUUUAAGGCGAGGCAGAAGACAGAGAGGGACAGAAUGAGUUUCAUUUUCAGCAUCAUCCGACUUAUGAAGUAUAG